UGUCUGCUGGCCACAGCCACCCUGGCGGGGCUGGGUGCUUUCCCUGCUGGCACCGUGCUCUCUCCCUGCAGCUUUGGGCAUCAGCAAUCUGCAAGAGAUAAGGCCAUGAUGUAAAUCCUGACUGUUGGAUACCUCUUUAUCACCGGCCUUUUCAGGAAACAACACCUUUCCCAAUUCCCGCUGCUGUUAAACAGUUUAAUAAAGGAUUAAGAGACUUUUUA